rfam:Pteropus alecto contig12928, whole genome shotgun sequence.
GUCUGUUUGGCCAUGCUACCCUGAACAAGCCCGAUCCCGUCUGAUCUCGGAAGCUAAGUAGGGUCAGGCCUGGUUAGUACUUGGAUGGGAGACCACCUAGGAAGACCAGGUGCUGUAGGCG